UAUAAGUUGAAGGAUUGAUAAUCGAUCCUUUUGGGAUAUGUCAAUCCCAAAUCUAUUAUUCCAUUUAUUUAUUAAUUAUCAUAAAAACAUUUAUUAAAUGUGCUGUCCUCCAACUCUUUCCAUGAAAAGAAAAGGUUGUGAACCACCACAUUUGAUCAUGGACAAAAGGUAAUCAAAUAGUUGCCUCCACUAGGACAAGUAAACGUGCUCGAUUUAUCAUCAUAAGCAUAACUGUAAGCUUGAGGACACUGCUGCUUGAAAGUCAUCGAAUAUUGGCUAGGAGGACAUUUGUCAGGUGUAUUAUAGUCUCCUGUGCAGCAGUACUGCGGCUGGUUAAAUGCCAAACACGCGCUCUUGCAGGCAAUCACAGUCCCAUCUGAACCCUUCACUUGUAAACUAGGAUCACAAACAGCAUUCACGUUAGCUGCACAGCUUGUAGAAGGGCAGCCAGUAGAACCUCCUUGCGGGGUUAUCGAAAUCGGGAUGUUAAAGCCAUCAACAAGGCUUAUAUCGUAAAAAUCUUGCCCACCACUACCGCUUAGAGUAAAUUCUGCCAAGGAUGCUGGUGGGAUCGCACCGGCUCCAUUGCAUUCUAUGACACCGGAGGCACAGUCAGCAGUAGCACAAACAAACUUUCCCGAGGCAUCUGUAGAGCAUUGCGUUCUGGCCCAAAAGCGGCCAGACCAAUUGACAGGGACACUCAGCGAAGAUGAAGCACCCGUUGCCAAUGUGAAGCCAGUUGAAGAUAAAGACGGACCGCGAUCAGCCGUUAGAGUUCCUGGCCAGACUGUGUAUGGACACUUGUUUGUGAAGUCGAAAGUCACAGAUUGAGCUCCUGCAUGCGUGCAAGCUGCGCAAGAUUUAUUUUUGUUGAUAUCAAUAGUUAAAUCUUGGUCGAUUCAAAGAUAACAUAAUUCAAUAUUUAAGAUCUUGUAUUAAUUCACUUAUUUUUCUUUUACAAAUAUAACAUAACCCAGGAUUUUUGUUUAAUAUAUUUUUUUUCUUUUUAGUUUUUUAUCUGGAAACUCCCUCCUGGAUAAGUUUAUUGGAUUCACGAAAUCCAUUGAAUAAUGAAAACUAAUUAAUAUUGCAUAUGCAAACAGAAAAUAUAUAUGUAGAAUAAUCAAAGUGAAUAAUAUGCAUAAUAGAGUUUUCCAUGCAAGAAUCUAAUAUUUGUAAUAUUGUAAAACUACUUGCCACAGAGGAAGAUGACGAGAAGGUAAUUAUAGCAAUGGGCACACGACUCUCCAUUGCCGAGAUGCGUCGAAUUAACACUUUUCAGUAUCUUUUAAGAGAUUUGAGCUAAGCAAGAAACACUCUAUAUUUUAAAAAGAUUGUGUUUGCCACUUAAUAAAUAGUGUUAAAUUUGCAGACUAGUAAACAGCCAAACAGAGGAACCGUCUUCCACACGCACCGUCUCAUCCACGAUGACAUUUGAAAAUGAAUGCCAAAUUAUAAAAUUAUAAUUUAUUUAUAUUUAUAAAAAAAUUUUAUAAAAUUGGGUCUAACACCUGAAGUGUGUGGAUACCGUCCAUGCACUGACCUGCACUCAUCAACUAUUUUUUAAUAUUAUUGUUACUUAUAAAAUUAUAAAAUUAGAAAUAAACCACCCUGGUAAAAAAAAAAAAAAACCCCAAAGAAAUAUACAAAUGCCCUUGGUUUGAACCACAAGUGACUAACUAGAUAUCUCAAGAGGAACGCCCAGCUUCUCACGUCUAAUUGAAUAUUGAAUGUAAUACCGUUUCCUUGUUUGAACCACAAGUGACUAACUAGAUAUCUCAAUUGAUGAGAAAGCAGACUAGAAAACAGAGGCAGUUCUCCUCCAUCAUGUGCGACUGAGGAGCCGUGAUGAGUGCGAGACUCUUCAAAAUUGAUGAGAAAGCAGACUGGUCCCUGCUUCUGGAAUGAAUGGAAGUCUAGAAUUUUUCCAAAUCCAAUUGUCUAAUGAAUGUAACUCUGGAAUUAUUCCAAAUCCACAAGUUUCAUAAUGUUGUGUUGAUUGUGAGACAUUAUUUCAAAAACUGAAGGGGAAUAAAAUUGUCAAAAAUUCUAAUUUUACAAAUUAUUCCAAAUAAAAAAACAAUAAACAAAAUAAUAGGAAUGAAAUUCAAAAAAAUAACAAAUUAAAGGCAUGCUUUGAAAUUUUGAAGGGCUACACAUAAAAAUCAAGAAAAAAAAUAUAUUUUCGGCAACAAACCAAAAAAAUAUUUGUCACACGCGCUGCCUCACCCACGGCAGUAAUUGGUCAACAAACAUUCUGAACGUGCCACUUGAAGUGUGCGGAUCGCCCAAGAACUAACCUGUACUCAUCAGCUACUUUUUUUAAACUAUUUUUUUAAAAAAAUAAUAUUUAUAUUUAUUAAAUUAUAAAAUUGAAAAUAAACCACCCUGAUAAAAAAAAAAAAAAAAACCAAUGAAGAUAUACGAAUGCCCUUGGUUUGAACCACAAGUGACUAACUAGAUAUCUCAAUUAAUGAGAAAGGAGACUAGCAAACAGCCAAUUAGAGGAACGCCCUGCUUCUCACGUCUAAUGAAUGCAAUUGAAUGCAGGAACAGGGCCAUACUCACAAGAAAAUUAAUUACACCCGACAUCCUACUUUCUAAGUGUAAAAGCUAUAUUUCUGUGUCUAGAAAUAUCAGUUAGAUUUUUUUAUGGAAAUAUCUUGUCAAUAAAUAUCAAAAUAUUUGAUAUUGUAAUAUAGAGCAUAUAUCUAAUUAUGUUUAAUAAAGUUUUUAUUUGAAUAAAUUUUUAUUUAACCAAAUGAUUAUCCGUGCCAAUAAAACGAUGUAUAUCCAGUAUAAUUUUUUUAUUUAAUUUAUAUUUCAAAAUAUUAUGAAAUAAGAAUGCUCUUACCCAAGGUUAAAGUUCAAGCACGGUAUGAGAAGGUGGAAAAAGAUGUUGAUAACUAUUGGGGUCAUAGGUUUUCCUUCUUCUUUUUUUUGUGUCUUUGGAAAAUAGAAAUGCAAAGGACUGUCACGGAGUUUUUCCAUACCAUGCUUGGGCUUUGGAUGUAUGUUUCCUUGACAUGAGAUGAUGGCUACCUUGCUUUGGAUCCCUUGUCAACGAUGAUGCUCGUUAAUGCUAGUACAACUAUAUUUCUCUUUUCUAAAGUUAAGUACUAGGUUGAUAUCUAAAGUUAAGUACUAGGUUGAUAUCUAGAAAUAAGUACUAAGUUUUUAUUAAGAAAAAUUUUAAGGGUUUUUUUUUUUGCACUAAGGACAUGUGUGGUAAAUAUUCCCAAACCUAUUUUUCAAAGCUUUUUUUUUUUUUGUGUUUUGUCAAACUAAUCUUAGUCUAACUUUAAUUAUUUUUCAAGUUUGGAAGAGCAUUUUUGCAAUUAAUUUUUCAUUCUUUAUCCUUUUAUAUUUAAAAACAAGUUUAUUAAAUCCACAGGUAGAUGGCCUAAGUUUGAAAAACACUAAAACAUUUAACUUGUUUAUUUUAAUAUGAAUUAUGAGCUUAUACGUGAGAUUUAUUUUUGAUAUUGAAAGAAACAAAGGCAAAAAUAUGUUUUGGCUCUAUAAUGGCUAGGCUUCACCCAUAAAGCUAUUGGUUCACUUUACUGGGAUAGACUUGCUUUAAUCAAUAGACAAACCAAUGAUAAGAAAAAAACACAACAGUGUCUUAAUAAUAAUCAGACAAAUAAACAAUAUAGCUUAUCUUAGGUAUGAUGUACUAGGGGUGAUAAUAUCCAUCCUAUAUGUCGUACGUGUGCGGCGUCGCGGUGAUCGUCCACCAUCUCAAGGAAAAUGGAACGGUGUAUCCCUGGAAAAUGUGGAGAGACAAGGAAUUCCUUGUCUCUUAUUAGUAAAAUAUGGACUAGGAGUCGCCACCUAGUAUUCUGGUCAUUAGGAACCCUAACUAGUCUUAGAGAUCGAGUACGGAGACUGGUUGCGUAAAUGGAAGGUAUUAGCACCCCAACUACGCCCUACCUAAGGUAAGCUGCAUUGUUUUAAUGUCUAAUAAAAUCUAAGUUCUUAUUGUGUUUUCUAAUUGUUGGUUGUUUGUCUAAGCUUCAAGAAAAGCCCUUCUUAUUAAGAAGGUUUUUAUUUUAAUGGGGUAGAACCUAACCGUUCUAGUGUCUGAAAAAAUUUUAAUAUCUAGAAUACAUAUUACGUGUAAUGUCAUAUCCCGGAUACUAAAAGAAAAACAAAAUAAAAAUUCUAAGUACUAGGUUGAUAUCUAGAAAUAGGUUUAUCACGGUUUUAAGAAUAUCAAACACGCUAUUAAGAAAAAUUUUAAGGGUUUUUUUUUUCCACUAAAGACAUGUGUGGUAAAUAUUCCCAAACCUAUUUUUCAAAGCUUUUUUUUUUUUGUGUUUUGUCAAACUAAUCUUAGUCUAAUUUUAAUUAUUUUUCAAGUUUUGAAGAGCAUUUUUGCAAUUAAUUUUCAUUCUUUACCCUUUUAUAUUUAAAAACAAGUUUAUUAAAUCCACAGGUAUCUGGCCUAAGUUUGAAAAACACUAAAAAAAUUUAAUUUGUUUAUUUUAAUAUGAAUUAUGAGCUUAUACAUAAGAUUUAUUUUUGAUAUUGAAAGAAACAAUAGUGUCUUAGUAAUAAUAAAAAAAAUAAACAAUACAACUUAUCUUAGGUAUGAUGUACUAGGGGUGAUAAUAUUCAUCCUAUAUGUCGUACGUGUGCGGCGUCACGACGAUCGUCCACCAUCUUAAGGAAAAUGGAACGAUGUAUCCCUGGAUAAUGUGGAAAAUUCCUUGUCUCUCAUUAGUAAAAUAUGGACUGGGAGUCGCCACCUAGUAUUCUAGUCACUAGGAACCCUAACUGGUCUCAGAGAUCGGGUACAGAGACUGGUUGCGUAAAAGGAAGAUAUUAGCACCCCAACUACGCCCUACCUAAGGUAAGCUGCAUUGUUUUAAUGUCUGAUAAAAUCUAAGGUUUUGUUGUGUUUUCUAAUUGUUGGUCUGUCUAAGGUUCAAGAAAAGCCCUCCUUAUUAAGAAGAUUCUUAUCUUAAUGGUGUAGAACCUAACCGUUUUAGCGUCUGAAAACAUUUAAUAUCUGUAAUACGUUUUACGUGUAAUGUCAUACCUUGGAUACUAAAAGACAAACAAAAUAUAAAUUUUGUUAUUUUUGCAAUUUUGGCCAAUGUUCUAUUGACUUUAAUAAAGUGGUUAUUAAAGCCAAAAUACAUGCUAAAACAUUGUUUUUUUGUGUGUGAAAAAAAUAAUAUGAUUUUUUAGCUUUGAGACACUUGGCCCUAUGCACAAAAACAUUUUUUUUGUAUUUUCGAAAGUUUUGACGAAAACCGAGUAUUGUAAUACCGAAUUUGUAUUUUGUUUUUUAAAUGACAAAAUAAACAGACUCAAAUUAAUCAAAACAAAGAAGAAAAAUACCCGAAAAGCUUACAAUUUUUCAAAUGCAUUUUUGAAAAAAAAAUUUGAAUUGGGUCGGGCCCGGCCCAAUUAUUUUUCUUUGGACUAGGCUGGGCCCAAAUAUUCGGUUGGGCCAAAAUUGGCCCACCCAUGAACAAUGCUCUCCACUAUUCAUAGACUAAGCAAUGGAGGUGAGACGAAGCAGAAGAGAAAAAAAAAAGGAAGGGGGAAAGGCUGACCUGCGGCGGCACUGGUUGUGCUGCUGGUGGUUUGUGCUGGCUCUAUUUUUUUUUCUUCUCUCUCUCCUCUAUUUUUCGUUCUCUUCUCUGCUUCUUCUUCUUCUUUUUUUCUUUCGGUAUUCCCCCUCUAUUUUGCUCUCUCUCUUCUCCUCUAUCCUAUUUUUCUCUCCUUUUUUUUCCUGUGUUUUUCCUGCUCUCUCUCUUACUCUGUUUUUCUUCUUUUUUUCUAUCCUUGUGUUUCUCUCCCUCUCCUCUCUUUUUUUUUCAUCGUCCUUGUGUCUCCUUUCUCCCUUUUAUUUAUAGGGGAGAAAGGAGGCCUACACCCCUGCCUAGUCAAUGGCGCAGGGGUGUAGGGUAGACGGGGCGGCCACUGUUCAGCCGCCCCUCUACCACCCUAGGGACACCUCUCGUCCCCUAAUUCUAACAUGUGGAAAGUUGUUCGAGUGGAGGGGUUAGGUCAACAUUUUUUUGGAAGGAGUCGGUGGCGGUGACAGAGGAAGAAAAAAUAUUCUUCUUCCCCUGCUUCGCGUGUCCAGGGGAAGAAGAAGACCAUAGUGCCGUUCAAAACGACACCAUUUCGGCCUUUUUUUUUUUGGUGACCAAGUAUAUGAAACGAUGCAAUUUUUCCCAAAACACGUCAUUUCAUUUAAAUGGGAAUUGGCACAAAAACGCGUCAGAUUCAAAAUCAGGCCUUCAAUUUGCUCGUGUUUUGCAUUUUGGCCAUCAAACUUCAAUAUUUAUGCAAUUAAGCCCCUUAUUUGACCUAAUUAAAUCUCAAAAUUAUAUUUUGACCCUAGAAUUUGAAUUUCUUUCAAUUAAAGCCCAAAUUAACUCCAAAAUCAAUUUUUCUUGUAAUCAAAACCUCCAUAAAUUCAAUUAAACCUUCCAUAAAAUUUAAUUGAGUCCAGAAACAAUUGAUUUUGGACUUUUCUUCCUCAAAUUGAAUUUUCUUUGUCAACAAGGCUUUUAUCAGUCAAUAAAAUACUACUAAAUUUUGAUAUUUGUAUUUUUAAACCUCCUCUACCAAUUUUUAACCAAACAAAGGAACACGUGAAAAUCAAGAAGAGAAAAAAAGAAAAAGAAAAAGAAAAAGAAAAGUUUGUAAUAACAACCAUCUUCAACACACACCGUCUCAUCCAUGAUGACAUUUGACAAUGAAUGUCAAAUUAUAAUUUAUUUAUAUUUAUAAAAAAUUAAAUUAUAAAUUUGGUUGUCACCUGAAGUGCGCGGAGAUCGUACAUGCACUGACCUUUAUUCAUCAAUUAUUUUUUAAUAUUAUUUAUAUUUAUUAAAUUAUAAAAUUAGAAAUAAACCACCCAGAUAAAAAAAAAAAACCAAUGAAAUAUACAAACGCCCUUGGUUUGAACCACAAGUGAUUAUCUAGAUAUCUCAAUUGAUGAGAAAGCAGAAUAGGAAACAGCCAAUUAGAGGAACGCCCUGCUUCUCUAAUUGACUAAAGAAUGUAACACCGGUCCCUUGUUUGAACCACAACUGACUUACUAGAUAUCUCAAUUGAUGAGAAAGCAGACUACUAAACAGCCAACAGUGGCGGUUCUCCUCCAGCAUUACACCGUGAUGAGUGCGAGACUCUUCAAAAUUGACAAGGAAGCAGACUGGUCCCUGCUUCUGGAAUGAAUGGAACUCCAAAUCCAAUUGUCUAAUGAAUGUAACUCUGGAAUUAUUCCAAAUCCACAAGUUUCAUAAUGUUGUGUUGAUUGUGAGACAUUAUUUAAAAAACUGAAGGGGAUAAAAUUAUCAAAGAAUUCUAAUUUUAUAAAUUAUUUUAAAUAAAAAAACAAUAAUCAAAAGAAUAAGAAUCAAAUCUGAAAAAAUAAAAAAUUAAAGACGUGCUUUGAAAUUUUAAAGUGCCACACAUGAAAAUUAAAAAGAGAAAAAAUAUAUAAAAAAAAUUGUCAGCACCAAACUGAAAAGCUAUCUGCCACACAUGCUGCCUCAUCCAUGCGGCAAUGGGUCAACGAACAUCCCUGCAUGUACUUAUUAACUAUUUUUUUUAAUAUUAUUUUAUAUUUAUUAAAUUAUAAAAUUGGAAAUAAACCACCCUGAUAAAAAAAAAAAUACGCAAUGAAAAUAUACAAAUACCCUUGGUUUGAACCACAAGUGACUAACUAGAUAUCUCAAUUAAUGAGAAAGCAUACUAGUAAACAGCCAAUUAGAGGAACGCCCUGCUUCUCACUUCUAAUGAAAGCAAUUGAAUGCAGGAAUAGGGCCAUACUCACAAGAAAAUUGAUUUAUACCCGACAUGGUACUUUGUAAGUGUAAAAUCUAUAUUUCUGUGUCUAUAAAUAUUAGGUAGAUUUUUUUAUGGAAAUAUCUUGUCAAUAAAUAUCAAAAUAUUUGAUAUUGCAACACGAAGCAUAUACCUAAUUGUAUUUAAUAAUGUUUUUAUUUGAAUAAAUUUAUAUUUAACCAAAUGAUUAUCCAUGCCAAUAAAACAAUGUCUACCCAAUACAAUUUUUUUAUUUAUUUUAUAUUUCAAAAUAUUAUGAAAUGAGCAUCACUUGCCUAUAUUUAUUUAAUUAAUUAAAUUAAAUUAAAUUAAAAAAUGUCUAUAAAAAGGAGAAAUGAAAAAAAAAACAACAAAUAAAAAUACUCGAGAUAUCCUGAAUCAUUUUCAAAAUAAGUGAAAAAUCUUAUAGAAAGAAAAAAAAAUUCAAUGGAGCCCAAUAUCAAUGUAGUCAUUUUCAAAAUAAGUGAAAUAAACAUGAGCUUAAGAAAAGGGAAAAAAUCAAGCAAACUCGAGUGAACCUCCUAAACAUGAGUUAAUCUUUAAAACUCGCAACUUCUAAAAUCCUAGACUUGAACUUGAUUAAUAAGCACAAUUCUCAACUAAUUUAAUGUUGAAUAAUGAAAACAAGAAAAAAAAUCAAUUUAAAAAAAUUGCCAAAGUGAAAAAAAAUAGCAAUGAAAAGAAUGAGGGAUCAAAUCUGAUAGAAAAAAAAAACUUAUGGAGGAUGAUAUUGUAAAAAAAAAUCAAAAUAAAAAAUUAUCUCAAAUAAAAAAAUAGUAAUCAAAAGAAUAGAAACAAAAUUUGAAAAAUAAAAAAAUUGAAGGGGGAUUAAAUUGUUAAAGAAUUCUAAUUUAAUAAAUUAUUCCAAACAAAACAAACAAUAAUUAAAAGAACAAGCACCUAAUCUGAAGGAAUAACAAAUUGAAGGCAUGAUUUGAAAUUUUGAAGGGGCACAAGCGAGAAUCAAGGAGAGAGGAAAGAAAAGGAGAAAGAAAAGGUUCGACACCAAACCGAACAACCAGUUCACUUGGGAUUACCAAAUAGUCGACCAGACCAACUUAAAUACUAGAUUUUGAUAAUUUAAACCUGCUGAAUCUUGAACUGAUACUCAUCCUAUAUACAUAUAGAGUGAAGUGUUUGAGUUCAUUUUAAUUGUGCUAUUAAGAUAAAAUAUAAAGAUUUACAUAAUCACUGAAAUGAACAUUUAACUCUUACUCUUCACUUGUUUUGCAUCUUGGACAUCUUCAUUAAUUUUUUCAUGACAUUUUUCAUGCUUGUUGAUGUCAAAACUCAUUUUUGGGUUAUUCCCCACCCUUUUUUACCUUAUUCCUUUUCAAAAUAAAAAUAAAAUAAUAGUCACAAGGAGACUAGCGACGUUGAAAAUGUUGGCUGAGGAAGGAUUUUAAAUAUAGAAAAAUUAAAGUUUUGGAGUCAAUUAAGGGCUGCAUUUAUGAAAUUUUCAGCCAAGGACCAUUUUGAAAAAACUAAUUAGGGACUUGAUUGAAGAAAUCUAAAACCAAGGACCAAACUGGAAAAGGAGCAUGAAUAUAGGGGUUGAAAUUGAUUGAAUCAGGGACCAAAUUGAAGAAAUUGGAAGUUUGUUGAUCAAUUAAAGGUCAAAAUGCACAAAUUCAAAACCGAUCAAAGUAAAAAAGGCAAGCAACUUCAGGGCUGAAAUUUGAAUUUGACAGAGAUACAAUUGAAUUAAUUCUUAAAAUCAAAAUCUAAAUUGAUUAUAGGCAAAGGAAAAAGGUUUUUUCCUCCUCCUUUGCAGCACACCUCUCUCUCUCUCUCUCUCUCUCUCUCCCCCCCACUUGCCUAAAAACCCUGACACAACCCACACGUCCUUAUGGCCUACCACCAUGAUGAAAGGGGCAAAGGGGACAAGCCUUACAGGCGAUUCUGGGCAUCGUCCCAGCUACCCUACCCCAUCGCCAUAACUAGAUUGGGGUAGGGCAGCUCCCCACCGCCCUUUAUAAAUACCAUCCUUACCAGGAGGUUGAGGGGUAAAAAAAAGAAAGAAAACAAAAGGAAAAAAGAAAAAGGAACGAAACAAAAAAGAAAAGGAAAGAAAGAAAAACAAGGGAAAACAAAGGAAAGAAAGGGAAGAAAAAGAAAAACAAAGAAAAAAAAGGAAAGAAAUGGAAGGAACACUCUUUGCCCUUUACUCGGAGAAGAAAAGGAACCUUGUCUCCCCCUCUCUAUUGCCAGUUAGUAGCACAGUAACAAUUUAAUGGUAUUUUAGGCUUGGUCUAGCCUUAUAUAUAUAUAUAUAUAUAUAUAUAUAUAUAUAAGAAUAUGUUGGGUCGACAUCGGCCCAACUCUUUUGGGCUGACCUUGACCCAAUUUCUUUUGGUUUAUAUUUUUACACUGUAAAGAUACAUAUUCGUUAUUAAAAUACCUGUUUUUUUUUUCUCUAAAAUGUUGCAAACACAAAUAUAUAGAAAACAAUAAAAAACAAUAUCUUGUUUUCAUGCAUAGUGUCAAGUCUCUCAAAAAUAUAAUAAAUUUCAUAUUGUAUUUUCAUACAAAAUAAAAUUAAAAAAUAUAUGUGUUAGCAUGCAUUUUGGGCUUUAAUAACCAGUUUAUCAAAGUAAUGAGAACUACAACUAUAUUUUAAAAAUAUUUUGUUUUCUUUUAGUAUCUAGGAUUAUAAACUUAUACAUAAGAAGUAUUCUUGAUAUUAAAUAAAAAUGUAGUUCUUUUUUUAUUAUCGACAUUAGAACGGUUAUGUUUUUACCUAAUAAAAUAAAGAUCUCCUUACUGAGAAAGACUUUUCUUAAACCUUAGAUUGACCAACAAUUAGAAAACACAACAAUACGUUAGUUAUAUCAGACAAUUAAACAAUGCAGAUUACCUUAGGUAAGGUUUAUAAGGGGUGCUAGUACCUUAUGUGAAACCUCAAAAAUUUAUAAUUUAGAUAUGUAGAUGACUCAGUGGAAACUCUAUAAAACCCCAACAAAAGACUUCACCAUGAUGAAUUGAAUAAUGAGAAAUAAAAUAGAAAUGGUGGUAAACUGUAAACCCCCAAUCAAAUUUCAUGAUAUUAAUAAAUUUGUUGCGAUGUCGCGGUCGAACAAAUUAAUUACCCUAGCUUAAAACACAACACACAAGAUAGUAUAGAGAAAGCAAGGGGUUGAUCCCACGAGGAAGGUUUAGUUCAUAUUGUUAUGCUAUACGUUAUGUAAUUGGGGGGGUUUGGUUUGUAAUGAUUUAAACUAUGGCAGAAAUUAAACUAGCAAACAAAAUCAAUUGAAACUGAAAUAUAUCUAGAAAACAAACCUUGGUUGCAAGCACACGGAUACCAACGGAAAUUAGAACCGAUCCUUGAAAUGAAACUCCAGUUUAUAUUAUGAAUUUUAUCUUUUCUUAAUAUUGGUUAAUUAACGGAUCCGCUGUAUAACUAGCCCUAACCAACAAACAAUCACAGUGUCUGCACUAAUGAUUUAAUCCAAUGGCAGCCUUAAGAUCCAGAUAAAUUCAUUAAUCUUAACAACCAAGUUGUCAAUUUGUGUUGCUAUGAUCGAAUGCUUUUCCUAUGUUUAAUAACAUAGUUCCGCUACAAUUAUCAAGCUUAGUUGCUUCACAAGUUUAUAUACCACAACUCCGGUUUUGAUAUCAAACUUAGCAAUACAUUGUUCACAAUAAUAACUUAGAGUCCGCUCUAGCAAUUAAGAUAAACAAUCAUAGGAAAUAUGCAUAGGAAAACAAACAUACUCAUUCAUAACAUAAACUGAAAAUAAAAGGAAGAAUAAAUCUCACGGUUCUUGAAAUCCGAAGGUUUGUUGUAUCCUUGCAACCAACAAAACGAGCUUAGUCUUGCAUAUCUAUUGAACAACUACUCCUAAAGAUGGAAGAAUACAUGAUUUCUGAUUUGUAGAGGGGAGAGUUUGUGUUUCUUCUCUUCUUGCUGCUACCUCCUUCUACUCACCCUCUAUUUAUACACAAAUUGUAAGUAAGAAAAUCAAAGUUCAAGUGUGAACAUCAAUAGAUGGUGGUAGUGUGAAGGCAGCUCGCGGCUGGCUGACUUGAGGUUGGUGGCUGGCUGCUGGCUGACUUGAGGUUGGUGGUUGCCUUGAGGUUGGUGGCUGCCUUCCUUGACCUUCUAGAAUAUUUACUAGAGGAGCUAAAUUGCUGGUCGGUUUGGAUGCUUCUGGAUGAAAUUUGGAUUCGUUUCUUCACGCAACCUGCUUGCUGGCAGAAUUCAGCUGUCAUCUUUGAAAACUCAUAUCUCCCUCAUAUGCCAUCGUUUUUGGCUGACAUUUGGAGCGUUUAUAGAUCUUUUAGUACGGAAUCCAACAAAAUUGAGUUUGAAUCAAUUAAACUUCUGAAGCUCCAGAUAUUGAAUUUUGAAUAGGCAAAGGUCAACAUUGGCAGACUGCAAGAUUUGACUUUGAAGGAUGUGAUUUCCAUGAUAUUUCUCUUUUUAUUUUUCUUGCAUUACAUUUCCAGAAAGGUAUGGAUGUUAUCUUUUUAAUGCCACUGGAAUCACUUCAUUUCGAUCUCUGGAAGUCACGCUCUGCACAAAAUAUCGACUGAACGUCAAAUCUGCCAAUUACCUCCAAUUUACUCCUUUUUGUAUCUUUCAUCCAAAAAUGCCUUCAAAACAUAAACAAAGAAUAUCAAGACAUUUUAUAUAAAUAACAUAUGCAAAACACUAGUUAAAUACGGGUGAAACUAUCGAAUAAUAUGGUUAUAUCAACCCCCAAUCAAAUUUCAUGAUAUUAAUAAAAUUAUUAAUAAUUCUGAACCAAAAAUGGGAUGAGCUAGUUAAAAUAAAAUAAAAUGAAAUAGUAUUGAAUUAUUAGAAAAGAAAUUUUAGAGAGAGAUUUUUUUGCAUGGUAUUUUAAAAGCGGACCGAGAAAAGGCAUUUGGUUGAAUGAAAAGAUACCUAAACUUCAUAUAAGGGUGUUUUAGUAAAUAUAGAUAUAUUUGCUAUAUAAAUAGCAAAAUUAUAUAGAAAUUAACUAGGAGGGCCGAAUGAAAGGAAAAAGAAAAAGGAGAGAGAGAGAGAGAGAGUACCUUAAGAACAUAAAUUCAAACAACCAUAUCUCUGAAUUGCACCUUUGCAUUGGUCUGGUUUUGGGAUAUAUUAUGCUUCUCACCACCCUCUAACAUCUGACUGUUGGGAUCUAAAUGUUCUGGUAUGAUGUGAGAGAUAUACCCCUCGCAACAUUUCAAGGAAAAUUUACCUGCAGGUCAGUCAUGGACUCUAGAAGUUUCCAUAUUUAUACACCGUUGGAUCCUGCUCAAGUUUUGAUAUGUAGAUCAUAUUGACGAGCUUUUCAUUAUGAACAAUGGAGAUCGGGAUUAUAGACUCCAAUAAGAAGUUAGUCAUCGGAGAACAAUAUAUUGUAAAUUUUCAGGUCCGUUUUGGUUUUGUCUUGAUCUAGGAAGAUGUAACCGUGAAAAUACUAUGAUGUUUUGGUAUGUGUUUCAUGUUAUAAUGGUGGUUAACUUCACCGUUUGGAUUGUAUUCAUUCAGAUUGAGUUGGGAGAAACUUGAACCUUAAUGAAACAUUUGUUUAAAUUAGGUUAACAGAAAUGAAAUGAAUGGAAAGUGUGGUAGCUUGAUUUGUGUUUAACCAUCAAAAGCAUGCUAAUUAUGAUUUAAAUUGAAUAAAAUCCUUAGUGUCUUUCCUUAUCUCAUUCUUUCGGAAUUGUCGCAUGUCAAAAUCCACGCGGCAUCGGCUUGUCGAUUUUUCAUUUUGUUUGAUCGAUUUGGUUUGUUGGAGUCGCCACUUAGUAUUUAAUUGAAGGCUACUAGGAAGCUCGGGUGCUGGUCUUGUCAGAGAUUAACGGGUAAGAGACUAGUUGUGGUUAGGGAAGGUAUUAGCACACUUAACACCCCCUACCUGAGGUAAGCUGCUUCGUUAGAUUGACUGACAAAAAGCUAAGGUGUUAUUGUAUUUAUUGGUCUGUCUACAGUUCAAGAAAAGUCCUCCUUAGUAAAGAGAUCCUUAUCUUAUCGCGUAAAACCUAACUGUUCUAACGUCUAUAUAAAAACUAUAUUUUUAAUAUCAAGAAUAUGUUUUACGUAUAAAUUCGUAAUCCCCGAUACUAAAAGAAAACAAAAAGAUUUUUUAGAAUUUUUGAAAUAUUAGCCUAGUUCUUGUGGUUCUAACAAACUUGUUGUUAAAGCCAAAGUGCAUGCUAAUACAUAUAUUUUUGAAAUUUCUUUUGUUGUAUGAAAAUAUGAUGUGAUGAUUUUAUUUAUUUAUUUUGGAGAGACUAGGUCGUACGCAUUAAAACAAAAACAUUUAUAUAUAUAUAUAUAUAUAUAUAUACAUAUAUAUAUUUGAUGUCUUUGAUGAAAACCGGGUAUUUAAUACUGGAUUUGUAUCUUUACGGUAUAAAAAUACAAACCAAUAUUAACCAAUUUUGAUAAAAAUAUGCAGGAAAAUCAACAAUUUUUUUAAGGAUUUUUCAGAAGUUUGAAAACAAAACAUUUUUUUAUUUUUUGAUGUCUUGACGAAAACCAAGUAUUUUUAAUACUGGAUUUGUAUCUUUACGGUAUAAAAAUACAAACCACAAUUAAAAUUUUUUGAUAAAAAUAUGCAGGAAAAUUAAAAAAUUGUUUUAAGGAUUUUUUUUAGAAUUUUUAUUUUUAUUAUAUAUAUAUAUAUAUAAUAUUAAAUGGGUUGGGCGGGCCCAACUAACUGGGCCGGACUCAGCCCCAAAAGGGUUAGGCCGAUCUCGGCCCAAAAAGGGUUGGGUUGAUCUUGGCCUAGAAGUUCACUCUGCCUCUUUGGGUCUCGGCCGGACCCGUUCCAGACAUGAAGUGUUAAUUUAAGUUCAUUUUAAUUGUGUCAUUAAGCUAAAAUAGAAAUAUUUACAUAAUUAUUAAAAUGAACAAUUAAUCUUAGAUUCUCAUUUAAUCUUUAUUUGCUUUGCUUCGGUGGAUAGGUUUUAGAGAAGAAGAAGACUAUUUUUUAUUCUACACUUUCACUCAAUUUUUUCCCUUUCUCUAUCUUAAGUUUUUCUUCUAGGGUUGCUAGGGUUUCUUACCCACCUUUUGUUUUCCCUCUAAUUUUUCUUUGGAGGCCAGAGUUUUUUUUACACCUCCCCCUUUUUCUUACCUUGCUUUUCUAUUUAUAGGCAAUGGGUAGGUUCUAGAAUCUUUAUAGCUAGAACACUCAUAUCCUUCGAUUUUUUAGGUUAAAUUUGGACCCUUAAUCAUUGUUGUAUAUAUUUGGCACAACAUGCUCGUGUUCUAUAAAGCUCACACCAAAUCUUAAUCAUAAAGAGUGGGAUGAGAGAGAGAAAAAGGAAAAAGAGAAGAAGAAAAAUGGGGCUGAAAAACUUAACUGCUAUUUUUCAAAAUCAGACGACCCGUUUCCUUUCAAAGGGUAGCCAAAAAGCUCCCAUGCACACUCUUUAGCGAGCUUCUUCUUUACAAAAAAAAAAAAAAAAAAACUAAAAAAUUGGAUCGUCAUUUUCAAACCACCUUCUAGCUAUAACUGGAAACAAAAAAAACAAUACAGCCUCUCUCAUCAGCGCUGUCUCUUUUCGCCACCCUCGAGUUACUAUCUUGCCCCACGUUGAUUCCAGGAACCAUAGCCGCUGCUUCCACAGUACCAUUAAACUGAGGUGUUCAUUACCGGAAUCAUAACCCACGGCAGGCCAGGAUCCCACUCACAUCGUCCAUGUGCAUCUUCAGCGUGCUCGUUCUACACUCUUGCCUCAGACCUCUCUGGACUUAGCUUUAUUCAAGCACUAGCCACUGAAAAAAAGAGUGAAGAAGAGGUACGGGAUAUCCAGUGGAGCUGUCUCCAUCAUAAUCACUCAAGGUAUAAAGCUUCUACCUAUUCUCAUUUAGUUGUAAUCUUUUACAUGUGCAUGCUACUGCAAAGGCUAGCUCCCGUUUUUCCUUUAUGUGCUAUGAAGUUAACAUAUAGUGUUGUAAGGUGCGUGGAUCUUUUAAGUCCUAACCUGGGCACGGGUGUUCUUUCACUUGCUACGGAUACUGAAUAGGAUGGGGUGUGAUUUUUGCUUCAAACGCAUAAGGUCUUGAAAACUUGAUUGCAUGUCCCAAGUUUAAAGUUCAAGAACGGUAUGAGCAGGUGGAAAAAGAUGUUGAUAACUAUAGGUUUUCCUUCUUUUUUAUUUGUGUUUUGAGAAUAAAAAUGCAUAGGACUCUCAGGGAGUUUUUUCAUACCAUGCUUGGGCUUUGGAUGCAUUUUCCUUGACAUGAGAUGAUGGCUACCUUGCUUUGGAUCCCUUGUUAACGAUGAUGCAUGAACCAGGCAUGGAAAUCUUCAAUGACUAUCGUGCAUGAUUUUUAUGUUCAAAAGAUCCAGUACUCUAGCUGUGCAUAAUUAUUGGCCAAGCCGUAAAUAAAAUGAUUUUUGGUUGAAGAAGAAUCGGUAUGUGCAAGGGUUUCUGGAUCAUUUCUUUUUACUGUCCCAUGGCUUUUCGUUAAUGCUAGUACAGCUAUAUUUCUCUUUUCUAAUGUUAAGUAGGUUGAUAUCUAGAAAUAAGUUUAUCACGGGUUUAAGAAUAUCAAAGACAAGAAAAGAAAAGCUAAAAAAAAGAAGCUUUUAAGGCACAAACACGCUAUUAAGACAAAUUUUAAGGUUUUUUUUUUUUUUCACUAACGACAUGUCUGGUAAAUAUGCCCAAACCUAUUUUUCUCAGCCUUUAUUUAUUUAUUUAUUGUGUUUACACAUACUAGUCUAAUUUUAAUUAUUUUUCAUGUUUUGAAGAGCGUUUUUGCAAUUAAUUUUUCAUUCUUUACCCUUUUAUAUUUAAAAACAAGUUUAUUAAAACCAUAUAAAUUUGAUUUAAGUUUGAAAAACAUUAAAAAAAAUAAUUUAUUUAUUUUAAUAUAAUGAAUUAUUAGUUUAUACAUAAAAUGUAUUAUCAAUAUAAAAAUAUGUUUUGACUCUAGAAUAACUAGACUUGACUCAUAAAAAUAUGAAUAUACUCUACUGGGAUAGACUUGCUUUAACCAAUAAAUAGACCAAUAAUUAGAAAAACACAACAAUACCUAAUUAGUUAUAAUCAGAUAAAUAAACAAUACAACUUAUAUUAAAUGAUCACAAUGAUGCUACAACCAUGCUACAUUCAACAUUGUACUUUCCAUGAGUUAUCUUUUCUAUUUUUCAAUUCCUCUUCCCCACUUAAUGUGUUAUUUUUUUAAUAAUCUUCAAAGCUAGCUUAGAUUAUAUGAUCAUAAUAACUCCACAAAAAAAAAAGCUAAAUUUAUUUAUAAAAUGAGCAUGGCAUGCUUACCAUUCAAACCAGUAAAAAAUCCCAUAAAAGAUUAGCACCUGAUGACAAUGUUUUGAAAUUGAAUUCGACACUCCAUCUACUUAGUACAUAUAUGUUGAAGGAUUGCAACCUUCAUCAAUGAACUGAAAAUAUCAUUAAUUUAUAAUGAAUGGCAUAUAGUUUUACUAUAUCACCAGCAUGAAAAUUGAUAAUCGGUCCUUUUGGGAUAUGUCAAUCCCAAAUCUAUUAUUCCAUUUCUUUAUUAAUUAUCAUAAAAACAUUUAUUAAAGGUGUUGUCCUCCAACUCUUUCCAUAAAAAGAAAGAGUUGUGAACCACCACAUUUGAUCAUGGACAAAAGGUAAUCAAAUAGUUGCCUCCACUAGGACAGGUAAACGUGCUCGUUUUAUCAUCAUAAGCAUAACUAUAAGCUU
rnacentral:lncRNA from 1 species